AUUGAACGCUGGCGGCAGGCCUAACACAUGCAAGUCGAACGGUAACAGGAAGCAGCUUGCUGCUUCGCUGACGAGUGGCGGACGGGUGAGUAAUGUCUGGGAAGCUGCCUGAUGGAGGGGGAUAACUACUGGAAACGGUAGCUAAUACCGCAUAAUGUCGCAAGACCAAAGAGGGGGACCUUCGGGCCUCUUGCCAUCGGAUGUGCCCAGAUGGGAUUAGCUUGUUGGUGGGGUAACGGCUCACCAAGGCGACGAUCCCUAGCUGGUCUGAGAGGAUGACCAGCCACACUGGAACUGAGACACGGUCCAGACUCCUACGGGAGGCAGCAGUGGGGAAUAUUGCACAAUGGGCGCAAGCCUGAUGCAGCCAUGCCGCGUGUAUGAAGAAGGCCUUCGGGUUGUAAAGUACUUUUAGCGGGGAGGAAGGGAGUAAAGUUAAUACCUUGGCUCAUUGACGUUACCCGCAGAAGAAGCACCGGCUAACUCCGUG
rnacentral:rRNA from 1 species